GAUGAACGCUAGCGAUAGGCUUAACACAUGCAAGUCGAGGGGCAGCAUGGUCUUAGCUUGCUAAGACUGAUGGCGACCGGCGCACGGGUGCGUAACGCGUAUGCAACUUGCCUCACAGAGGGGGAUAACCCGUCGAAAGACGGACUAAUACCGCGUACACUUGCGAUAGGGCAUCCUGACCCAAGGAAAUUAAAUUCGCUGUGAGAUAGGCAUGCGUCCCAUUAGCUCGGUGGUGAGGUAACGGCUCACCAAGGCGACGAUGGGUAGGGGAACUGAGAGGUUGAACCCCCGGACUUGUACCGAGGUACGGACCAGAAUGGUACGGGAGGCAGCAGUAAGUAAUAUUAGGGGAUGAGGGAGAGCCGAAAAAAGCCAAGUGGCGUGAAGAAGGACUGUCUUAUGGAUUGUAAACUUCUUUUAUACAAGAAUAGCAAGAGUAACGUGUGGCUCCCUGAAGGUACCGAAUGAAUAAGCAUCGGCUAACUCCGUG
rnacentral:rRNA from 1 species